rnacentral:rRNA from 1 species
GGUAUUGUAGCAAUACAAGAGACCGGCGCACGGGUGCGUAACGCGUAUGCAACCUACCUUUUACAGGGGAAUAGCCCAGAGAAAUUUGGAUUAAUGCCCCAUGGUAUAUUUGAGUGGCAUCACUUGAUUAUUAAAGUUCCAACGGUAAAAGAUGGGCAUGCGUCCUAUUAGCUAGAUGGUAAGGUAACGGCUUACCAUGGCUACGAUAGGUAGGGGUCCUGAGAGGGAGAUCCCCCACACUGGUACUGAGACACGGACCAGACUCCUACGGGAGGCAGCAGUGAGGAAUAUUGCGCAAUGGAGGCAACUCUGACGCAGCCAUGCCGCGUGCAGGAAGAAGGCGCUACGCGUUGUAAACUGCUUUUAACCGGGAAGAAACCCCAGGACGUGUCCUGGGUUGACGGUACCGGAGGAAUAAGCACCGGCUAACUUCGUGCCAGCAGCCGCGGUAAUACGAAGGGUGCAAGCGUUAUCCGGAUUCAUUGGGUUUAAAGGGUGCGUAGGCGGGGCAAUAAGUCAGUGGUGAAAUCCUGCGGCUUAACCGUAGAAUUGCCAUUGAUACUGUUGCUCUUGAGUAGGCUCGACGUGGGCGGAAUGUGCCGUGUAGCGGUGAAAUGCUUAGAUAUGGCACAGAACACCGAUAGUGAAGACAGCUCACGA